UAGUCCACGCCGUAAACGAUGGAUACUAGGUGUUUGGAGUGUUAACCCUCUGAGUACCAAAGCUAACGCAUUAAGUAUCCCGCCUGGGGAGUACGGUCGCAAGGCUAAAACUCAAAGGAAUUGACGGGGCCCGCACAAGCGGUGGAGUAUGUGGUUUAAUUCGAAGCAACGCGCAGAACCUUACCUGGGUUUAACAUCCCACGACAACCUCAGAGAUGAGGCUUUCCCUUCGGGGACGUGGUGAUAGGUGCUGCAUGGCUGUCGUCAGCUCGUGUCGUAAGAUGUUCGGUUAAGUCCGGUAACGAGCGCAACCCCUAUCUUCAGUUGCCAGCACAUAAUGGUGGGGACUCUGAAGAGACUGCCUACGCAAGUAGAGAGGAAGGCGGGGACGACGUCAAAUCAUCAUGGCCUUUAUGCCUAGGGGCUACACACGUGCUACAAUGGCGAGUACAAAGGGUCG
rnacentral:rRNA from 1 species